AGCAUAAAAUAAUCGACAACAAUGAAGAAAACAUCUCUUGUGAUCUUAAUUGUGGCAAUUAUUUUGUUAAGUUUCAUUGUCACUGCCGAAAGAUAUGAUCGUCAUCAUUUUGUCAAAUGUGUAUCGAACACUUUAAUAUUAACUGUGCUAGGAUUUUUGGGACGCUUUAUAUGUCGCAAUUUAAUGCCACUCUUAUAUGGAAUUUCAUAUAUUUUCGUAGGAUUACUCUGCCUUACAGUAUUCAUUUCGGUUUUUAGGGAAACGUUCAACUAGAAUUGCUUAGUUCCAGACGCGAAAUGAAUUCAAUAUGUGAUUCAACAUGGGUGAUUCACGGUGAAGACCGGCAAUAUUUAAUUAAUAUCGUAUCGAUGAACCAUCAAUUGAAGUAGAUUAUCAAUCUUUGUUGUUUCGUUAUCAUUGAUAACUUAUCAAUAUAUUCAGUUAUAUUAUACCAAUAAAAUUAAUUUUUUGAUAAAACUGA